rnacentral:rRNA from 1 species
GACGAACGCUGGCGGCGUGCUUAACACAUGCAAGUCGAACGCUGAAGCUUGGUGCUUGCACUGGGUGGAUGAGUGGCGAACGGGUGAGUAAUACGUGAGUAACCUGCCCUUGACUCUGGGAUAAGCCUGGGAAACUGGGUCUAAUACUGGAUACGACAUGUCACCGCAUGGUGGUGUGUGGAAAGGGUUUUACUGGUUUUGGACGGGCUCACGGCCUAUCAGCUUGUUGGUGGGGUAAUGGCUCACCAAGGCGACGACGGGUAGCCGGCCUGAGAGGGUGACCGGCCACACUGGGACUGAGACACGGCCCAGACUCCUACGGGAGGCAGCAGUGGGGAAUAUUGCACAAUGGGCGGAAGCCUGAUGCAGCGACGCCGCGUGAGGGAUGACGGCCUUCGGGUUGUAAACCUCUUUCAGCACGGAAGAAGCGAAAGUGACGGUACGUGCAGAAGAAGCGCCGGCUAACUACGUG